GCACUGCUGAGGAGUCCCAUACUAGCACGAAACGGCCGUCCAGUGC
rfam:Schistosoma mattheei strain Denwood, Zambia genome assembly, scaffold: SMTD_scaffold0007699